CUGUGCCUCCUGAUUGCUGAGUGUUCACCUGGACCUUCUGACUACCUUCCUUGUGCUAUUGCAUCAGCCUACAGAUCUGGUACCUGGAUUUUUGCCCAUGGUGAUUCCUGCCACCUUACUACUGAAGAAGAUACCAUUCCAGUGGACCACUGGUGACCCAAAAGACAUUCAGCCAUUAUUAUGUGGCCUUUACCUCCACUCCUGUCCUACCCAGCACAGCCCUUUG
rnacentral:lncRNA from 1 species